GAUGAAGAACGUAGUGAAAUGCGAUAAGUAAUGUGAAUUGCAGAAUUCAGUGAAUCAUCGAAUCUUUGAACGCAACUUGCGCUCUCUGGUAUUCCGGAGAGCAUGCCUGUUUGAGUAUCAUGAAAUCUCAACCAUUAGGGUUUCUUAAUGGCUUGGAAUUGGGUGUUGCCAGUCGCCUGGCUCGCCUUAAAAGAGUUAGCGUGUUUAACUUGUCUAUCUGGCGUAAUAAGUUUCGCUGGUGUCGGCUUGAGAAGUACGCUUCUAAUCGUCUUCGGACAAUUCUUGAACUCUGGUCUCAAAUCAGGUAGGGCUACCCGCUGAACUUAAGCAUAUCAAUAAGCGGAGGA
rnacentral:misc_RNA from 1 species